rnacentral:rRNA from 1 species
UACGUAGGGAGCAAGCGUUGUCCGGAAUCAUUGGGCGUAAAGCGCGCGUAGGCGGCCCGAUAAGUCCGCUGUGAAAGUCAACGGCUCAACUGUUGAAAGCCGGUGGAUACUGUCGGGCUAGAGUACGGAAGAGGCAAGUGGAAUUCCUGGUGUAGCGGUGGAAUGCGCAGAUAUCAGGAGGAACACCCAUAGCGAAGGCAGCUUGCUGGGACGUUACUGACGCUAAGGCGCGAAAGCGUGGGGAGCGAACAGG